AAUUUAGCUUUAACAUUACUGGUAGAAAUUUUGAAGUGUUUUGAUAUACUUAUCAAAACGACACCGCAUAAGACAAAACCAGAGACCUGACAAUAUAUUUUUUUCCCAGGUUAACGUGUCUGCAAGACUGCAAUUGAAAGUGUCAAACAUUUCUAACGACUUUCUUCAACAAGCUUUCAGUCUGUCUUGUAAUCUAACAGUUCAGAUUUCCCUUCUCUUUUCAUUUAUCUUCUCAUUACGCACAAUCAUCAUCAUCCAUCGCAAAAUCAAAUGGCUUCAUUGGCAGCCAAUUUCACUGCCUUUCUCUUCCUUUUCCCAGCUGGCCUUAACCGCCUACUUUUUUCUUCAUCUCUUUAUCUUAAAAACCCUUCUGUUUUCAGAUCAAAACCAUGGUAUUUCUCUGACCAAAGAUACAAAAAUUUUGAUCUUUAUUUCUUGAUUAUUUCACUCCCCAUUGCCUCUUUUAGCGAGUUAUUCUUUUUCUUGACUUUUUCUGGCCACCCCACUUUCAGAUUCUCCUUCUUUAUGCAAUCGGCUUCACUUUUUCUCUUCUGGCUACUCAUUAUUAUCAUUUUUUUUCGUGAAACUUACGACGCUUUCAUCGUUAACGAGAGUUUUGCUUUUCUUUUUCUGGGAAUUUCGUUUCUUGUGGAAUAUUCUGUGGUUGGGAAAGGAAUUGGAGGCCCCCUUGGUGGGGAGGCUUAUAAUUUGUUGGGUGAAUUGACUCUUAUUUGUGCUGGUGCUUGUUUGGUUUUGUCCAUAAAGCCAACUGCUUUUUUUGCCGAGUUUUUCUUGUCUUGUGGGUUGAUUUUUAAAGGGACUUGGUUGUUACAAACCGGCUUCUCUUUGUACACUGAUACAUUUGCCUUCAAAGGGUGUCAUAAAAUUUCUCCGUCUACUGCUAAAGAUUUUAUUGAAAGUAAAUGUGAUCUUGACAAGGAUGGCCUUAGGGGGGUAGCAUUCAUUAAUCUUUUGUUUGUUGCGCAUGCAAUUGCGGUGUUUAUAGGAAGCGUUGUGUUGUUCGGGUUCUUAUCAAGUCAUAAAAAAUUGGGGCGUGGUGAGGCAAGCGGGCCAUUGCUAGCGCAGCUCGAAUCCGACAGCUCGUUGAUGCAUCCUGUUCCUGAAUUUGAACUGGAAUGAGGUCACGCAAAACCAGCAUUCUCUGUCAGCAUCCUUAUAUGAUGGCAACCUUUGCAGUGGACCAGUGGCAGGUAGCUUCUGACUUCGGAGUGAUUCAUUUCAUGUUCUUGGUUUGAUGGAUAUUCUGAUGCAAUAUAAUUGCAAUAGCAGUUGAUUGUAACUCUCGCCAUUGCAUUUUGUCAUCUGAUGCCAAUUCAUAGCUCCAUAGCCUUACUUGACUGUUACAGCCUGCUGUCUACUGAUAACUAGCUUACAUGCUUGAGGUUGUUGGUUAUCUCUUUAAGUUUGAAUAUAAAGAAGUGUGUCCAUCCAGAAGCAGGAGAAUGAGAUUACAAACUGAAAGAAUUUGUGAGGAGGUGAUGCCCCUCUAAUUCCCAAGUCUGCAGGUGGUUGCAGAAGAUUCCAUUACUAUUUGCACAGCUAGUUACUGAAAAUUGUCCAAUUUUUCUUUCUUUCUUUUCAACUGAGUUUCAACAUUCAAACUUUGGCAAGGAGUGGAGAAUGAGUUCUCUGAAACAAAUGUUCAAAUGCUUAGUAAUGAGACAUCCCUUGGUCAAUUAUCCUACUCAUAUUUAACUAGAUGGACCUGAUGUCUCUUUGAUUGUUAUGUGGUUGUUGCUACAAUUUUACAAGAUUUGAUGAAGGUCUGCUCGCAAGCAAUAUUUGGAGUGAAAAUAAUAUGUUCAACAGAAAAUUAUUUCUUAAAUUUGAACUCAUCAAGUUCAAUAAUAUCCACAGCAUCAGAAUAAAUUCCUUUCACCAUCUCCAUUGUACCAUGCAAAAGCCCAUAUGCAACAAGUCUCUUUGGACAGAAAUCGAGUUGAUAUUGACGAGAAGGCAUGUCGUGGAUCUGAUACCAAAGACUGUCAAACAUUAUGAGGCAAUCUGCUGUGUAAUCCUCAUUCUUUUUUUUUAAUGUCUAUGUAUCUUCCAGGUUACACUUACAAGUGCUAUAUUUAUACCAGUACCUUUGCCCUCUACUGCUGUGGAAGUUUGAUUUAUAACAGAUCUUAAUAGUUACAGAAAGCCUUGCUACCAAUAGCAAAUUUGUACUGUAUUCUUGAUCCCUUUCCAGAACAUGUUUAUGCAUUGUAAGUUUCCUUGGAAAUGCAUAAUGGACUAAUUGCUCGAUGCAUCUUUUAAGGCA